AUUGAACGCUGGCGGCAUGCCUUACACAUGCAAGUCGAACGGCAGCACGGGUGCUUGCACCUGGUGGCGAGUGGCGAACGGGUGAGUAAUACAUCGGAACAUGUCGUGUAGUGGGGGAUAGCCCGGCGAAAGCCGGAUUAAUACCGCAUACGAUCUACGGAUGACAGCGGGGGACCUUCGGGCCUCGCGCUAUAGGGUUGGCCGAUGGCUGAUUAGCUAGUUGGUGGGGUAAAGGCCUACCAAGGCGACGAUCAGUAGCUGGUCUGAGAGGACGACCAGCCACACUGGGACUGAGACACGGCCCAGACUCCUACGGGAGGCAGCAGUGGGGAAUUUUGGACAAUGGGCGAAAGCCUGAUCCAGCAAUGCCGUGUGUGUGAAGAAGGCCUUCGGGUUGUAAAGCACUUUUGUCCGGAAAGAAAUCCUUGGCCCUAAUACGGUCGGGGGAUGACGGUACCGGAAGAAUAAGCACCGGCUAACUACGUG
rnacentral:rRNA from 1 species